GAGUUUGAUCAUGGCUCMGGACGAACGCUGGCGGCACGCCUAACMCAUGCAAGUCGAACGGAGAUAUUUUGGUUUACUGAGAUAUCUUAGUGGCGGACGGGUGAGUAACACGUGAGCAACCUGCCUYUGAGAGAGGGAUAGCUUCUGGAAACGGAUGGUAAUACCUCAUAACAUAACGAAGCCGCAUGACUUUGUUAUCAAAGAUUUAUCACUCAGAGAUGGGCUCGCGUCUGAUUAGAUAGUUGGUGAGGUAACGGCUCACCAAGUCGACGAUCAGUAGCCGGACUGAGAGGUUGAACGGCCACAUUGGGACUGAGACACGGCCCAGACUCCUACGGGAGGCAGCAGUGGGGAAUAUUGCACAAUGGGGGAAACCCUGGUGCAGCGAUGCCGCGUGGAGGAAGAAGGUUUUCGGAUUGUAAACUCCUGUCUUAAAGGACGAUAA
rnacentral:rRNA from 1 species